CUGGGCCCGGCUCAGGAGUCAAUCAGAUGGGUUUCGGCCUCAGGAAGCCCAGGGACCGCACACCAUGCAGGCCCUCUGAGCUCUGGAAGAAAGAGGCCCGGAACUGAGUAGUGGAGCUGGGGUUCAGAUCAAUCCUCCCCACGCUCACCCCACGCUCAUCCCACACGGGUUCUGAGCCCUUAAGCCCCAGCUCUGCACAUCAGCCCAGGCUUUCUUCCAGAACUUGGGGCAGGUGCUCUCCAGUGAAACGGUUUCUCAAUGUGAGGUUUUGUAAGUUCGCUGAGUGCCUGUUUCCAACAAGACAGGACAAACUUUCUUGUCCCCGGGGCCGAUGAUCCCCGAGUGAAGUCAAGCCACCUUCCUUUUAAAAUCAUGAAAUGAAAGAAAAUAACGAAAGGCCCUGGAAACCCUGAAGCGUUAGAAGUGUGACCACGCAUUUUCAAAUAAUUAUGUAAGGAGUGAUCAGCUUCCCACUGUUCACCUCUUCCCUUACACUGUACAAGAAAUGUCUUGACAGUAGGCGAGCGGGUACUCUGGUCCUUCACUUCUCCGUCGGUCGGAGCGCUAGGAGCUGUGCGCCCGGCCACCCCCAGGACUAGAGGGAGCGGACACCUUCCUUUGCAAGCGCUGCGGUGUGGGUUGGUGUUGCAGAGACGUGGCCUCCAGAGUUGCCCGACUCGGACCCGUUUCCAGUCUGGAGGGAGUGGACCGACCGUGUGCAGGGUGAGUUCAGGGCGCUGAGGAGCCAGCGCGGGACGAGGAGAGCGCCAGGAAGCUAGCCCGCACUGGGCACCCUGGAUCACCGAAUCCUGCGAAGGACUCUGAAGCGGGGGUGUGGGUGGGAGUGCUGGGAGAAAGCCCCAGAACCCAAAAUGCCUGCCGGGUGCUCUUUCAAAUUCCCAGAGCUUUCACUUUCAGCGGGUGACCCUUUUCCUGCGAAGGGGUGCAAAGUGAACUUGGUCAGACACUUGGUCUUAGGAGUGAGGCGGUUCUUUCUGUUUACACUGUUUCUUCGUUGCUUUUAGCUUGCACGAUAGCCACGAAUAAUCUUCAGCCCAAUCUCUCUCUCUCUCUCUCUCUCUCUCUCUCUCUCUCUCUCUCUCUCUCUCUCUCUCUCUCUCUCUCUUACACACACACACACACACACACACACACACACACACACACACACACACACACACACACACGGUACUUUAUGACCUCAUCUAGAGACAUCAAAACCUAGAUCUGUAGUGUUUAUUCUUAGUGUACCAAAAAGCAGAGGAGAGAAUGUGUGAGACAGAUGUCUGUCUGCACUUUGCCUUCUGCUGGGGAAAGAUGCCUGAAAAUGACUAGCUUCCUUUUACAGAUUCUGAACCACCUGUAUUUUGCCACAAAACUAAGUUGGGUCACUAAUAAAGCAUCAGUGACAUGGAUCAACAAAAUACCAGUUAUGCCUUUUAACGACCUUAUUACUUAUGGUUAUAGCUGAGAACUUCAAACUCGGUCAAUAUAAUCAAGUGAUUUCUAAAAUCGGCUGCCUAAGAUUUUUACAUCAUCUGUCCCCCUUACACCCCCAGGAAGUUAGAAGGCUAGAGAUGAGGUUUUAAGGAGUUGGUGUGUAUUCGUGGUCAAUGCUGAAUUUGUUUCUUUCAGUAAACUUCGUUGCUACUUCUGCUAAAUAAUGGGACCUUGAUUUCUGAUUCUGUCAAGUUAUGCAGAGUGUAAUUGAUGAUGGUGGUUACAACCGACUUGGUUGGGAAGUGGAAUUGGGGCAAGGUGAGGGUACACUCUCUUCCAGCAGUCUGGUUAUGGUGAAAACCGGAGGCCAUUUAAAAGAACAAGUUGUUUUAAUUUCUACUUCAGCUUGGGUAAUGCCUGCCAGGGUGGGGGUGGGGAGAAGGAGAGAGAGUGAAAGAUGCUGAAACUAAACAGCAAAGAAGAAAAUAAAGAAUUGGUGCUAUGUUUUUAGUGUUCCUUUUUGCUCGUGGGUGGAAAUGGCUUUUGGUGAGUCAUAGGUAUGGAGCAUCGUGGCUGUCUGAAGAGGGGAAAGUGUCAGGAGUUUAUCAGUUGUGAGGCUACUGUGUGGCUGGGCCUGCUUCUUCCAGGAGGCCAUCUGGCACUUCUCUUUGCCAGCUUCUCGUUACCCCCCAAGUGGAAAUCCAUGCUCGGUUGUGUGUGAGGGAGGCAUGGAGCAAAGGAGGAAAUUAAAUUGCUGUUAGAGUCUACAGUAAGAAAAGGGGGAGCGACUUCCAAAGGUCCUUCUACCUCUAGGAAGCAGGCGAGCUGAGCAGUUGAGCAGUUGGAGGGGCCAGUUAUCUUGGGAUGUACCUCUGCUCGCACCCUGGCUUUCUAGAGCAUUGGGAGUGUUGGGGGCAAUGAGAUUGAAGCCCGUCUGGCUCAAGACAUCUGGCCAGCUCCUCAGCUCCUGGGUGGAAGCCCAUAGCACCAACAUGCAUCUGGUUCUGAUGUACCUGCCAGGGUGGUAUGGACAUCGGCUGUGUGGCCCACACUUGACCUGCUUGGGAUUAGCAGGUCCUCUGCUCAGCAGCACUAAAGCUUUUGAUUAUUUCAAAGCACUGGGUGGCCUCUUCCCCGUCUGUGAAGCCCAUGGACCCCCUCCAUACUUCUGUUAUGUCAGAGUUAAUUGCCCGGCAGUGGGGUGUCACUCAUGGUGGGAUGGCCAAGAAAUGCUGCAGGAAAGGACAGUGUCCUCAACAGGUAAGAGCAUGGCAUGGGAUUCUCUUUCUCUUUGCUAGCCAGAGGGUCCUGAAACCGAAACGUCUUUUGAAUGGGAUAGUCCUUGGCAUUUUCUCUUCAGUGGUUCCCCAUGGACAACCCUUUUUUGCCCACCUUAGGCUGUAGGCACCCCUGAUUGGGGUCUUGAAAGUAUAACUAGUGUUGCUUUCAGUGGGCAGCUCAUCCCAGUGGCGCAGCUUAACAAGAGAGCAUCCAGGUCAGAAGCAAAUGUCCUCUGUUCCUAAGUGUCCUGGGAACAAAUUCCCUGCCAAUGCCACGAUGCCACGAAAGAGUGAACAAGAGGCAGGACUCCUCGUGGCUCUAGAGCUUUCCUACCAAGUCCAUGGUGGAGUGGGGUAGGGCUUGGGAACAGGGAAAAUUAAAAAAAAAGCAGUCAGUUGCCUUUUCUGGAAAUAGGGUAGCUUCGGAUAAAUUGGAGACCAGGAAAUCCUGCUGAUAGAGAGAGGGAAUGAUGUUCCCUAGGUAGGAUGGCUCUGUGGUCUAAUCCACUUGUUCUGAGAGUUCUAGGAUUCAUGGUAAAGGAAAGACCAGGGCUCUCCCAAAGUGACCAAAAAAACAGGUCCUUACACCCGCUGCCGCCCCCCCCCCCCCCCCCCGGGCCCCUAUCCAAAGAGAUCCACAGCACUGGGGUCUGAACGGACCUGCCUCUCAAGAAACCUGGUGGGAGAACCUGGGGUUUCUCCAACUUGUAAGCUUUCAAAAUAGACAGGAAAGGAGGAGAGCCCCCUUCUUUCAGAUUAGGUCUCUUUAGGAUCAGAAAACUUAUCCAUUACUAUGGCAUCCUUAGCAUCCUCAUAGGUGGCCCUUAUAGGUUGUUUAGGAUACGAGGUAAGCUAGGAGGAGGAGGAGGUUGGCCUGUUCCCAGCAACCCAAGUAUAUGAAAACGAGUGUUUUCGAGUGUUUUCUAAGAGAAAACAAAAACAAAAACAAAACUCUACAGCUUUAAAGAUUUUCCCUAGUUAGAACCCAUCUACUUUUAUCAGGGUCUCAUGCAGGCAACCAAAGCCAGCUUCACCUCUUUUUCUUCUUUGUGGCAUGAGGUUGCAUUUUAGAAGGGCUCAUUUGAUGCUGUUUGCAGCUAGUUCCUCUGUCCCUGUCCUCAUCUGGGUCUUUGUAUGAAAACUCCAUGUGUAAGAGCUUUACAAUUUUUUCUAUUCAUUUUGACUAGAAAAUUUUACAAGGCAUAGACACAUUAAGUUUCAUGAACUACAUUGGACUGAUCUACCAAAAUGCAUCUCACUUGUAUUUGGAUAUAGUCAAGGGUGGAGUGCUGUAUCACUCACUGCCUGCUGAAACCUCACCAAGACUUUCUCACUGGCAGAAAUUUCUAGAAAAUCCUGCUGAGGCCAUUCCUGGGGUGGCCCAGAGCAGUCCAGGCCUGUGAGGAGAAGGGAAAGAGGGUGAGGAGUCAGGAGGGUUAGUUUGGGGAAUGGGGUUCCUCUCUGCACCUCAGGGGAGCUGGGAGGCUCGGCUGGACAGGAGGUCUACCUCAGUCUCUCUGAGCUUCUGUUUGGGUUGAGUUAGGAAAGGAGACACCUUUUCUAAAAGGGAAGAGACAGUCACUGACUAUAUCUCACAUGCACUUGUCAAACCUUUUCCUAAAGUUGUGUCCUCACCACCUGCCCUGUCGUGGGAGGAGUAACAUCUCGGGAGAUUUUGUACCUGCUCCUGGUCCUGUACUCCAGCUCUGGACUUACCAUUAUCUGCUUGCUGUGCACUGAGUUCCAAUCUAUAAUUCCUGAAGUGCCGCUGCUACCACUGACUUGGAGGGGAGUGUGAGAGCUGCACCUGGAGCUUACCCUUCAGUGUGGGGACAUAAAGCUAUGGUUCUUAAGGCCACACUGACUCAGACACCCACCUAAUCCCAGGAGCCUUCUCCAUUUGUGAGCCUUCCUCCUCUUACUCAGCAGGGAGGCUUGCUUCUCCAAGUCAGACUGCAACUCUCAACCUUACCAAGACAACCAAGAGCCCUUCUAUCUGCGCACACACAGUCCCUUGGAGAAAAUCAAGUGUAUGUACCUCUCCCUGCAGAUGGUGGAUCUGUAAGUGUGCCCAGUUCAAGCCAAUGAUGCGGGGUCCACCUUCUGCUGAGAGCCUCUCCUGGAAGGCACAACUCAUGCCUGAGUUCAUGGAAGUGCUUCAGCAAAAGUAUUUUUUGUUCAUUAAAAAAAUAAUAAUAAUUAAAAGAUGUCUAUGCUUCCCUCA